rnacentral:rRNA from 1 species
AGUCGAGCGGAUGAGUGGAGCUUGCUCCAUGAUUCAGCGGCGGACGGGUGAGUAAUGCCUAGGAAUCUGCCUGGUAGUGGGGGACAACGUUUCGAAAGGAACGCUAAUACCGCAUACGUCCUACGGGAGAAAGUGGGGGAUCUUCGGACCUCACGCUAUCAGAUGAGCCUAGGUCGGAUUAGCUAGUUGGUGAGGUAAAGGCUCACCAAGGCGACGAUCCGUAACUGGUCUGAGAGGAUGAUCAGUCACACUGGAACUGAGACACGGUCCAGACUCCUACGGGAGGCAGCAGUGGGGAAUAUUGGACAAUGGGCGAAAGCCUGAUCCAGCCAUGCCGCGUGUGUGAAGAAGGUCUUCGGAUUGUAAAGCACUUUAAGUUGGGAGGAAGGGCAGUAAGUUAAUACCUUGCUGUUUUGACGUUACCAACAGAAUAAGCACCGGCUAACUUCGUGCCAGCAGCCGCGGUAAUACGAAGGGUGCAAGCGUUAAUCGGAAUUACUGGGCGUAAAGCGCGCGUAGGUGGUUCGUUAGUUGGAUGUGAAAGCCCCGGGCUCACCUGGGAACUGCAUCCAAACUGGCGAGCUAGAUAUGGCAGAGGGUGGUGGAAUUUCCUGUGUAGCGGUGAAAUGCGUAGAUAUAGGAAGGAACACCAGUGGCGAACGCGACCACCUGGGCUAAUACUGACACUGAGGUGCGAGAGCGUGGGGAGCAUACAGGAUUAGAUACCCUGGUAGUCCACGCCGUACACGAUGUCGACUAGCCGUUGGGAUCCUUGAGAUCUUAGUGGCGCACCUCACGCAUUAAGUCGACCGCCUGGGGAGUACGGCCGCAAGGUUAAAUCAGU